GCGUUUGUGACACUGUUGAGCUCAGAAACAGGGAGGAGACUUUGGAGAUCUACAGUCAACUGAACUCUACUCAUGUCAGAGCGAAAUGCUGUCAUCAGGUAUCUUGUGGAUCCUCCUGCUGAUUCCCUUGAGCACAGCCAAUAGAGGUUUCACAAAGUGUAAGGGUGAUCAAACCAUAUUGUUCUGUCUGGACCCAAAGAAUCAUAUCGAGGGCAAAGUGGAGAUAAAUGCACUUUGGAAAAAAGAUUCUGGUGAAAGAGUGAUCUGGAAAUACAACGGAGACAGCAAAAAAGGAGACAGUUUCAGGAACAGGACAGUGGUGUUGAAUGAGGAUUUAUCCCUUUACAUUGAUGGAUGUGAUCAGUCAGAUCAAGGCAUAUAUAUUCUCUGUAUCGAUGGAAAACCGAGCUGUGAAGUUAGGCUAUUUGUCAGAGACUCAAAACAAUGCAAACCAAAAACAACUACAGAACAAUCAGUUAGAAGCACUGCAUCUUCUAUGGCAAAACAAGCUACUAAAGAUGAAAAACACCUGCAAACUGAAACCAGUCUGCCCAAUACUUACAUCAGAUGGGUUAUUUAUGCCUGUUUAUGUUUGGUUUUGCUUGUGGUCGUAUUGCUGUUUAUCUGUGUUAUCCGUGCAUGCAUCCCAAAAGAGGAAACUAGUAAAAAUGACAAGUCAGGAUCUAAACUGCUCCACAUGUAUAUAUAGAGUAACUAUGCCAGUGCAUGAUUUUAAAUUUAAUGUGGACACAACAGCAUAUCGUAAGGAUGAACAUCAGAACCGAAACGUUAGACUCGUUAGAAAAAUAAAAAUAAAAAUAAAAUUAAUUUUUAUGUCAGGAUGUCACAUUUUCAUAAUUCUUCUGACGUCAGGAAAGAAAAGUCAUGCCCCAAUAUGCAUGAGCUAUAUUUGCCCACCCAUUUUUUUGAUAUGGGGCAAAUUUUCUUUCCCUUUUAGUUUGCAUUUGUAUUGUCUUUGCUUGGGGCCCCCAAGCACCAAUGAUGAAAGCAAAGGCAAUACAACUUCAAAAAGUAAGGGAAAGAAAGUUUGCACAAUACCAAACAAAAGGGUGGGCAAAUGUAGUUCAGAAAUGUUGCCUAUAUGUAUCUGCCCUUAUAGAGUAGUUGUUAAAAAAAUUGAAAUACUAAAUAUCUGCAUAUGUUUAACUUCACAAAUAAUAUUGUUUAUAACUUUAAAAGAAUUUUUAGAGACUGUUCUAGCUCUAAAUAGCAAAGAUCAUCUGGAAUUAAUCUGGGUGGAGGUAUAUCUUUUUCCAUUUUCUGGAAUCUUAUGGAAUCAAGCUGUUUCAUUACAUAUUUAUAUUGUGAAAAUUGUAAUGAGUGGCUGCUAUACAUCUUUUUCUUUAAUAAAGAAAAUAUACAUAAAUCAAAUCCUUGAAUCCAUUUCUUUAAUUAUGAGGCCGUUUGUUAAAACUGAAACUGCUGAAAGAAGACAAGGCUUCACUGUAAAUUCUACAGCAGAAGCAUGUUUUUACCCAACAGUCCAAAAGCAAAGCACAGCUUUUGUAAUUUUGCAAAUGACAUUUGAUUAUUUUUCCCUUCAGCCUGAAACAAUAAGCAUGACGUUACCCAGUUAUUCAUUAACAAUGAGUUCAUCAUGA
ensembl:lncRNA